rnacentral:rRNA from 1 species
CGGACGUAAUCAACCUGCCCUUCAGAGGGGGACAACAGUUGGAAACGACUGCUAAUACCGCAUACGAUCUGACCUCGGCAUCGAGGAUGGAUGAAAGGUGGCCUCUAUUUAUAAGCUAUCACUGAAGGAGGGGAUUGCGUCUGAUUAGCUAGUUGGAGGGGUAACGGCCCACCAAGGCGACGAUCAGUAGGGGUUCUGAGAGGAAGGUCCCCCACAUUGGAACUGAGACACGGUCCAA